rnacentral:rRNA from 1 species
GACGAACGCUGGCGGCGUGCCUAAUACAUGCAAGUAGAACGCUGAAGAGAGGAGCUUGCUCUUCUUGAAUGAGUUGCGAACGGGUGAGUAACGCGUAGGUAACCUGCCUUGUAGCGGGGGAUAACUAUUGGAAACGAUAGCUAAUACCGCAUAACAAUGGGUGACACAUGUCAUUUAUUUGAAAGGGGCAAUUGCUCCACUACAAGAUGGACCUGCGUUGUAUUAGCUAGUAGGUGAGGUAACGGCUCACCUAGGCGACGAUACAUAGCCGACCUGAGAGGGUGAUCGGCCACACUGGGACUGAGACACGGCCCAGACUCCUACGGGAGGCAGCAGUAGGGAAUCUUCGGCAAUGGGGGCAACCCUGACCGAGCAACGCCGCGUGAGUGAAGAAGGUUUUCGGAUCGUAAAGCUCUGUUGUAAGUCAAGAAUGAGUGUGAGAGUGGAAAGUUCACACUG